rnacentral:misc_RNA from 1 species
AACUGCGCACGAAUCAUGUCGCACUCUGUCGAUCUCCAGUGGAUCCUGGUCCGCCAGAACAGCCGCUUCCUGCAGAAGCGCGGCGGCAUUCGCAUGAGCAACGACCCGUUCAACAACAACGGCAACUGGACGAAGCGCCACUGCGGCUUCCUGAACGAGAAGGCUGCUGUUGUGAAGCCGGCGAAGGGUGGUGCGAUCUGCGUGACGGUGAAGGACGGCAGCAGCAACAACAAACCGAGGCAGACGUACAGGAAGACCGUGCAUGCUGCUGGCGUGAGGGCGUCGGACGUGAGCCGUGCCGUGGCUGCUGUGCGUCCGGACCUCGCGGACGUGUCGUUCCGCCGCGCGCGCCGCAUGGCCUGCAUUGCGAGCCGCACGGCGAAGGUGGCUGCUGCGCGCAAGGCCCGCUCCGAGAAGAUCAAGUUUUCACGCAAGUCCGUGCGCGCGAAGCGCCACUAGGCCGCGCGUGCGCGUGCCGCUGCCGGACUGCGAGGCGCCAGCCGAUUCGCUUGCGUUGCUUCUCUCCUUUUUCUUCGCAUUGCGCGUUUUGUUUUUGUGUUUUAUCAUUCCCCGCCUUCGCAAAACACGCGUCGUCUCUUCGCCGCCGCGCUCGUGCGCGGCAUCGCCGUCGGCUGCGAGUGACGGAGACAGGCGCGAUGUGAGUUGAGGCGAAGCCGCAAGAAAAAAAAAAUAUGUAUGCGAGCGCGAGGGCGAGCGGGCUCGGACACCCUCCUGCCCAGACUGCAGCGUGCGCUGCCGUCAUCGCAAGGAUGGGGAGGCGGCAGCUGUGUCGAGUCCGAUGGCAUUGUGCGCGUGUGUCCGAGUGGCGCCGACGCCGCGCCUCCACCUGCGCUCCUCUUGUUGGUACUCCCAAGCUCCGUCGUAGGUGCUGCGUCGUUGCUGUGAGCGAUGCGAUGAGGGUCGGCGUGGGUGAGGUGCCGGGGCAUGUAGUGAUGCAGGAGGGACUUCGUUGGUGGGUAAUCGCCUCCUUCACGUGACGUCUUAGGGCAGCCGCUGAUGCGAAGCUGAGAGGAGGGGUGGGGCAAGGAAAGGACUGCUUGCCGUGUUCUGCCAUCAAACCGAUCGAUGCUGCUGUUGGGUGCCCAUGCGCGUCGCCGGCACUCUUGCACUCGCCGGUGCGGACUGUUUCUUGGCUAUGUGCUUGUCGUGCCUCUCUCUCACUUUCUUCACGUCUCCCUUGUCGGUGUUUGUGCUCUUUCUUUGGUUUUUGGAUGCCCGCAUGCCGCUCUUCACUGACGGGACGGCCGCUCGCGCGACGCCUCUGUGGCGGCCUUUGGAUGUCGGAUGCCGACGCCCUACAAAUGGCGGCGCCGUUCUACGUG